UGUUCUUAAAAAAUCGGUCUCUAGACCGAACACCUUAGACCGCCUAUUCAAGUUAGGCGGUCUCUUGCUUUUUUUUUUCCAGCUUUUCACGCUACAAUUUUUUUUCUUUAUCAUUUUCUCUUUAAUUUCCUUUACCCCAACGGCCCAACCCACUCCUUUAUAGAAUUUUUUUAUCUCUCUCCUCCUUGAAAACGAAACCCUACCUUGCUUCCAGCCUCCAACCUUAGCUUCUUAUUCCUUCUCUUCCGCAACCAUCUCCCCCCUUUGCACUUCCAUUACUCACACUCACACUUCUUCACCCAUUCUCUAUCCUCAUCUUAGCCCUAAUACCGCAAACAUCUUCGCCGCCGCACACUCAUCACCACUUAUCACAUGCACGCAGCAUCGCCAGCUUGUCAUUCCCCUGCUUCAAAGAAUCGGUACAUUCUCUUUUGGUUCAAAGAAAUCAUUUUGACCGCUUCAUAUUCGAAGCUAAAGACAAAGAUCUACACGAAUGACUUGUUAAAAUUCACGAUGAAGAGGAUUAAGGAUUUUUUUUUUAAUAAUUACGGGUUUUGUAUAAGUUUGUACUCUGUAUCAGGUAUAAAAUUAAGAUGAUAAUUUUACAUGUAUAAAAAUCAAUUAUUUAUUU